rnacentral:rRNA from 1 species
GGGUGUGAUCCUUGCGGGUGCAAUCAUACCAGAUCCCAUCAAAACUCCGCAGUUAAGCGCUCUCGGGCUAGAGUAGUACUGGGAUGGGUUACCUCCCAGGAAGUCCUAGUGUUGCACCUU